GACGAACGCUGGCGGCGUGCUUAACACAUGCAAGUCGAACGGAAAGGCCCUGCUUUUGUGGGGUGCUCGAGUGGCGAACGGGUGAGUAACACGUGAGUAACCUGCCCUUGAAUUUGGGAUAACUUCAGGAAACUGGGGCUAAUACCGGAUAGGAGAUCCUGCUGCAUGGUGGGGGUUGGAAAGUUUCGGCGGUUGGGGAUGGACUCGCGGCUUAUCAGCUUGUUGGUGGGGUAGUGGCUUACCAAGGCUUUGACGGGUAGCCGGCCUGAGAGGGUGACCGGCCACAUUGGGACUGAGAUACGGCGCAGACUCCUACGGGAGGCAGCAGUGGGGAAUAUUGCACAAUGGGCGGAAGCCUGAUGCAGCAGCGCCGCGUGCGGGAUGACGGCCUACGGGUUAUAAACCGCUUUCGCCGGUGACGAAGCGGGAGUGACGGUAAUGGGUAAGGAAGCACCGGCUAACUACGUG
rnacentral:rRNA from 1 species